rnacentral:rRNA from 1 species
GACGAACGCUGGCGGCGUGCUUAACACAUGCAAGUCGAACGAGAAUCUGUGGAUCGAGGAUUCGUCCAAGUGAAGCAGAGGACAGUGGCGGACGGGUGAGUAACGCGUGAGGAACCUGCCUUUCAGAGGGGGACAACAGUUGGAAACGACUGCUAAUACCGCAUGAUACGUAUUGGGGGCAUCCCUGAGACGUCAAAGAUUUAUCGCUGAAAGAUGGCCUCGCGUCUGAUUAGCUGGUUGGUGAGGUAACGGCCCACCAAGGCGACGAUCAGUAGCCGGACUGAGAGGUUGACCGGCCACAUUGGGACUGAGAUACGGCCCAGACUCCUACGGGAGGCAGCAGUGGGGAAUAUUGGGCAAUGGGCGCAAGCCUGACCCAGCAACGCCGCGCGAAGGAAGAAGGCUUUCGGGUUGUAAACUUCUUUUAAGAGGGAAGAGCAGAAGACUGUACCUCUAGAAUAAGCCACGGCUAACUACGUGCCAGCAGCCGCGGUAAUACGUAGGUGGCAAGCGUUGUCCGGAUUUACUGGGUGUAAAGGGCGUGCAGCCGGGAAUGCAAGUCAGAUGUGAAAUCCAUGGGCUUAACCCAUGAACUGCAUUUGAAACUGUAUUUCUUGAGUACUGGAGAGGCAAUCGGAAUUCCUAGUGUAGCGGUGAAAUGCGUAGAUAUUAGGAGGAACACCAGUGGCGAAGGCGGAUUGCUGGACAGCAACUGACGGUGAGGCGCGAAAGUGUGGGGAGCAAACAGGAUUAGAUACCCUGGUAGUCCACACUGUAAACG